GUAAUGCAUCACAUGAAUUCUUUCAUUCAAAAUGGUUCAUGCCUAAAUCUUAUCACUAUUUUGGGUAUUGUUUGUUAUUGUUAAGUGAAGCCGAAAUGCCCAGUGAAAAGAGGAGGAUUCAGGAGAGAGAGAGAGACAACUAAAGGAGGCAGCAAAGAGGAGCACAUCACUACAGGGUUGGCUACGAAAAAGCCAAACAGCAGAUGAGGAGCAGUCACAAGCCUCCAGACACUCGGAAAAUGUGGACCAGGAGGAGGCACAUAGGGCAGGUAGGCCUAAGUGCUGAUCACCAUAUAUGAGAGGACCAUGCUAGAA